rnacentral:tRNA from 1 species
GCCGGGAUGACGGAAAUGGCAGACGUAAGGGACUUAAAAUCCCUUGUCCCAUCGGGGCGUGAGGGUUCAAUCCCCUCUCUCGGCA